UGGGAUGUCUGCACACUCACUCUUACAAAGC
rnacentral:piRNA from 1 species